AAAGUUCACUCAGAAGCGUGUGUGGGACGAGCUGGAAAUGUGGCACUCGAGUCUGGCGGCGGUGGACGCGGACGUGCAGGACUUGGAGAUGCCUGAGGAGACGCUGAUGCUCACAGAGAGACUGGUGGAGGUGCAGCAGCUCUACGCUCACAUGGCCAAACAGGCGGAGCAGAGGACCACUUUCCUCAGCAAGAUGCACACGUGGAUUCAG